rnacentral:rRNA from 1 species
AUGUCCUUCGCCGGUGUAUCUGUCAUCGCCAAUGGCAAACUCCUGGGCUCUCCCACCUCCCCUACCACCGCCAGCGACAGCACUAUAGGAUACCACUUGCUCGUCGUGGAAGGCUACUCCCGCAUCAACAGAUCCAUCGCCAUCAAUUCUCGCUAUUUCACAGUGGCGGGCCGCCGCUGGAGUAUCUUGUACUACCCCAAUGGCCGCAAAAACCAUGACAUGGAUGGCCCGGGAUCACUUUGUCUUUACCUCGCCGAGGAAGGUGGAAAGCCUGUGAAGGCGCAGUUCGAGUUCAGUUUCAUUGAUGGGACUGACCAGCCGGCGACGGCAUGCAACCAUGCGCAUGCUAAGGAAAUAUUUGAGUUCCAAGACUGGAACCACAUCCCGCACGAAAAGCUCAUCAAAAGAGAGGCCUUGGAGAAACACCUCAAGGGCGAUAGUUUCACAAUUCGGUGUGAUGUCAUCGUUGUGGCGGGGGAUGUGAUCCCCACCACCACUUCUCCCUUCAUCACGGUGCCGCCCUCCGACAUGCAACAGAAUUUCACCGACCUUCUCCUGGCUGGAGAGGGUACAGAUGUGGUCUUCCAGGUCAGUAACGAGGCUUUGGCCGCCCACCGGUGCAUCCUUGCGGCCCGCUCUACCGUCUUCAGGGCGGCCCUCUUCGGCCCCAUGAAGGAAGGCACAUCUCCGACGGUGGUUCAGGUGGAUGACAUGAAUGGGACGGUGUUUAAGGCGAUGCUCGGUUUCAUCUAUGAUGACACGCUACCUUUCCCUGCGGCAGACGAAAACGAAGGCGUCCUGCUGCAGCACCUACUCGUCGCGGCCGACAGGUACGACCUCCGGAGGCUGAGAUUGAUGUGCGAGAAGAAGCUGUGCGAGCACAUCCGUGUGGGCACAGCGACGACCAUUCUGGCCCUUGCGGACCUGCACCACUGUGACGGGCUGAAGAAGGCGUGCUAUGAGUUUCUCCGAUAUCCGGCGAACCUGAGGGCGGUUGUGGAGACGGAAGGUUUUGAACAUCUCUGCAGCAGUUACCCCACUCUUAUGAAGGACAUGCUCCUCGGCGUGCUGCCUUCUAAGUAG